GACGAAGAGCUUGCUCUUCUGAUCAGUGGCGUACGGGUGAGUAACACGUGAAUAACCUGCCGAUAAGUUAGGGAUACCCAUUGGAAACGAUGGUUAAUACCGAAUAGUGCGCAGAACCCGCAUGGGUUCUGCGGGAAAGAUUUAUUGCUUAUCGAGGGGUUCGCGGCCUAUCAGCUUGUUGGUAGAGUAAUAGCCUACCAAGGCUUCGACGGGUAGCCGGCCUGAGAGGGUGAUCGGCCACACUGGGACUGAGACACGGCCCAGACUCCUACGGGGGGCAGCAGUUGGGAAUCUUGCGCAAUGGGGGAAACCCUGACGCAGCGACGCCGCGUGCGGGAAGAAGGUCUUCGGAUCGUAAACCGCUUUUCUACGGGACGAUAAUGACGGUACCGUAGGAAUCAGCACCGGCUAACUCCGUGCCAGCAGCCGCGGUAAUACGGAGGGUGCCAGCGUUGUCCGGAAUUACUGGGCGUAAAGCGCUCGUAGGCGGUCGCGUACGGCAGUGGUGAAAGCUCCCGGCUCAACUGGGAGAUGCCCAUUGCAACGGCGUGACUUGAGGGUGGUAGAGGCAGAUGGAAUUCCUGGUGUAGCGGUGAAAUGCGUAGAUAUCAGGAGGAACACCCAUGGCGAAGGCAGUCUGCUGGGCCACACCUGACGCUGAGGAGCGAAAGCUAGGGGAGCGAACGGGAUUAGAUACCCCGGUAGUCCUAGCCGUAAACGAUGGAAACUGAGUGUCAGUGGUAUCGACCCCAUUGGUGCUGUAGCUAACGCGUGAAGUUUCCCGCCUGGGGAGUA
rnacentral:rRNA from 1 species